UACGAAGGGGGCGAGCGUUGUUCGGAUUUACUGGGCGUAAAGGGCGCGCAGGCGGUUCUGUUUGUCGAGUGUGAAAGCCCCGGGCUCAACCUGGGAACUGCGCUCGAAACGGCGGAACUAGAGUUCGGGAGAGGAGAGUGGAAUUCCCAGUGUAGAGGUGAAAUUCGUAGAUAUUGGGAAGAACACCGGUGGCGGAAGGCGGCUCUCUGGACCGAUACUGACGCUGAGGCGCGAAAGCGUGGGGAGCAAACAGG
rnacentral:rRNA from 1 species